UACGUAGGGGGCAAGCGUUGUCCGGAUUCAUUGGGCGUAAAGAGCUCGUAGGCGGCUUGGCAAGUCGGGUGUGAAAACUCCAGGCUCAACCUGGAGACGCCACCCGAUACUGCCAUGCUAGAGUCCGGUAGGGGACCACGGAAUUCCUGGUGUAGCGGUGAAAUGCGCAGAUAUCAGGAGGAACACCAGUGGCGAAGGCGGCACUCUGGGCCGGUACUGACGCUGAGGAGCGAAAGCGUGGGGAGCGAACAGG
rnacentral:rRNA from 1 species